GGCCUCUCUCCCAUUGAGCUAUGGGACCCCUUUCCUCCUCAGCCAGGGCUAGCAGCCAAGGUCAGCCCUUGAGGAUCACUGUCAGGACCACCAUGAGUGGGCAGUCUUGUUUUCCUGCCUCAGACACUG
ensembl:scaRNA